GGAAGUCUUGGUGGCAUGAGCUCCUCCGCAGUAAUUCAAACUGAUGAGUUCAGGACUGAAGUGAACCAUUCCUUGCGCUUGUAAAUGUUUCAAGCUUUCAUUUCAUUCCCCGUAUAUAAUGGGAAAGGCAUAGGAAACUUUUAGCUGAGUUUCUGAAAAGUCAAUUAAACAAUCAACUCCCAGCUACUGAUCUUAAUCAGGUAACACAGGAUGUAACAUGACUAAAUUCAGAAGUGUGCAGUCUGAACUGUACGUGCGCAAAUGAGUAGAAGCGAGCGCUUGCUUACCGUGGAUUCAUCUAUGGGAAGUCCAAACAUCAGAAGACGGCGCUGGCCGAAGGGUACCACCAGCUGCGACGUGCCUGGUGGCCUCAGGCACAGAGUAAGAGGUGUGAGGCUCAGAUCUGUUUUCAGGAGGUAGGGCAAAAAGCUACUACUACUGUUAGGAGCUCUGUUGGUGGCACCAAGGACUGAAUAAAAUACAAAAUCAACUGGAAAGUAAACCUUCCAGGUGAAAUUCAGGAAUUGCCGGAGCCCAUCAGCCCCUGCUUUGCUCCCUGUUCAGGUCUUUGCAUAUAUUCAGAGGAAAUUGUGGCAGAUAGUCACCAUGAUUUGCAUAGGCACUAUUGAGGUGGUCGCAUCUGACACCUACUUUACAGCAAUGCAAUCGAUGGCGUGAAAAAUGAAGGCUCGGAUGGAUCGAUUGUAAUUCUUGGGGCUGUGUCUGCGCGGGUUGUCGGCUGCAGCUAAUAAAGGAGACGAAUCUUUUUGGCUGUCAGUCUAGAAACUUUCACCAGCAACAAAUUGACUAGAAAAAAAAAAAAAUACAGCCCAAAACCUGGUUAUGAAAAAGGGUCAUCAGAAACAGAAAGGCACAUAUGGUUUUUGAUCUCACACGCUGUGCAGUCACAUUAUCCCAGCCCUACGAGACGAAGGCUUUACGCUGUCUGGUGUGCUGCCUCCCCGCCCCCAGCAGAGAGGCAGCUCCGUCGAGGCUACGCGGCAGCUCAUCCUCCCCUGAAGAAAAGAAAGCCCAGAGAGGAGGACCGAGAGAGAAUUGCCUGAGAAAAGCCCAUUCUUUGCAUUGCACCUUUUUCUUAAUGCACGAUGAGAGCAACCAAUGGUGGGGCAAAGGAAGCCGUUUCAGAGUGACAUCCCCAAACAGACAAGUGGACGUGGCCCUCAGCAUCUACCUUCCCAAAGAGGAAACCGUCUUCAGCACGCUGAGCACCCUCCAGGCUCAUGGCAGGUUUAUUCACACUGUUUUGGGUUCUGGUGAGGAAGGUCCCCCACAGCGUCACCCAGCUGUUCGCCCCACCGGCAAUAUCACAGGGUGGGCUCCCGGUAGCAGCCCCAGGACGCUCCCCAGGGCAGCCGAGCCUUUUUUAUUUUAACAUUUCUAUUCAGCUUUCCUGUAACCUCAUUUCAUUCCUAGACGGUCUGCAAGGUGCUGUUCAAAACCAGGCCAGCUCCAGCCCACCUCAGGGCUGGUGCGGGCUGCGUGCGGUUGGUUUUGGGUGCCAUGGGCUCCUGUGUGCCUGUCGUACGAGGUCCAGCACCCUUCGCCCUGCUCUGCCUGCCCUUCGGAGAUGCCCAGACGUCGAGCCAUCACCAAUCCCAUGCUUUCGCUGCCCUGCCUGCAGGUGAGAACGGUGGGCAGCAUUGGUACCUCUUUGCCACGCUGGGACCAAGAGGAACACAGAGAACAGAUUUUAUUAAAACAAGGACAGCGAUGGAAAGAGAACUUCGUAAGAGCAGAAGGGGACUGGUUAGUUGAAUCGAAAGAAGCUGGCAAAGAAGAAAGGCUUUUCUUGUUAUUUGUGCUUGCUAGUUUCAAUCUUUUCUUGGAACCUCUUUUGAAAAAUAUAUUUCAAAAUAUAUAGGAAUCUCCUGGAAAACAUCUAUAAUAUCUCUAAAUAUUAUAAUAUUUCAUAUUAUAAGCACUGGCAACAUACCUUUUUUUUGGAGGGAAACGGUAGACAGUGAAGCUCCUAGUUACGAAGUUUCAGCCAUACCGAGAAGUAAUGUAAAAUGAUUGAGUCCUACCAGUACUACGCAGGAAUAGAGACCAGCCAGAACCUUACCAAUGCAGGCUCAGUGCUGGGUUUAGGGCUGCUUUGCAUCCUAGGCAUGGGGCAAACCAGCUCCUGUGUAAAUCCAUUACUUAAAGAAUCCACUUACUAGAUUAAGGGUACUACACUGUGUAUGAAGGCUUUUCUUGAUAGGGAGCCUGAUGCCUAUGUCUUCAGAAAAUCUUGUCCUUAGAUUAGGUCAAAAGCUAGAAGGUCCCAUGAGAUGUUAUCACGGAGGGCUUAUUAAAAUGACUUCCAUGAGAAAGCAAUACAUGAUGAGCUUUAUGCAAACAUUCCUAUUCCCUAGCAGUAGCAAACAAAGCAUUACAUGAAAUGAAGCGAGUUGAUGAAGGCAUCAAUGAUUUAGUCCCACCGUAUUGUUUCAGCCUGAAUUAGGAAUAAGAAAACUCCUAGCAGCUGAGCUAUACCCCACCGCUCUGACAUGUUAGGGCAGGAUAGAUGGAUCCCAGACAGUCUCAUCUCCAUAGCUCGUGACUACAAAAGCAGCUCAUGCUUGCUUGGAUCAUACAGAGAACAUCGCUCCCAGGAAGAACUUCACAUUUCUUUAGGUUUUGGGGUUUUUUUUGAACAACUUUAAUUACCGCUCUGGGAAACACACAAAAAUCUGCUGCCUGCUUUGCUCUUGGUAGUUGGCUUGCCGGCAUUAAGCGGAGGGGGGAAGGGGAAGCUUUGAAAAUGAGUGAGGCUAUUAUAGAUAACACCACUUCUCAGCAUGAGGAGUUAGUGUGAUGCUAAGAGGAAUACAGGUGAAAAA